rnacentral:lncRNA from 1 species
AUGUAAUAUGUAUGUAAUAUGUAUAUGUAAUAUGUACUAUUGUAUUACAUAUAUGUAUACAUAUGUAAUAUGUAUAUAUACCUAUAUACCUGUACAUAUAUAUACCUAUACGUAUACAUACAAUGGAAUAUUACUCAGCCAUAAAAAAGGAUGAAAUUCUGCCAUUUGCAACAACCUGGAUGGACCUGGAGGGUAUUAUACUAAGUGAAAUAGGUCAGAUGGAGAAAGACACAUACUGUAUGAUUUCUCUUAUAUGUGGAAUCUAAAAGACAAAACAGAAAACCACCCAAAACAAAACAAAAAAACAGACUCAUAGAUUCAGCAAAAAUUGUUGGUUAACAGAAAGGGGUUGGGGGGGGCAGUGAAAUAGGUGAUAUCUGAGAGGGGAGGAGGAAUAUGCUUCUUAGGCAGGCAGAAGAAAUAAUGAAUUUGUCUUUUUCUUAUUUCAGUCCAGAAGAGAACUACAGAGGAGCUGGGAUCAGCUCUGUGCUUGGCACGAAGCACCAGAAGCCGCUCUCACAGGUCCUCGUACAAGAUUCCUAUGUUGGCCUGUUUAUGUUUUUUCAUUUGCUCAGAGAAUGCUCCCAAGAUGCUUCCAGAAAUCACAGGACACUGUGACUUGCUGCUGAUUUUGGGUAGUUUCUAGAGGCGACAGAUAAUAUUUUAGCAGGGUCAAAAUGAGUAAAUUUUUAUCUUCUCAGCUAACAGAAAACUAGAGAAUUUGCUCACUACCCUCUCUUUCCUAAGCCGGGAAACUAACAACAAGAUGGGCCUCUUCCACAAUGGAAGGGACUAGUAAAAAAUCUGUGUGGUCACUGAGUCUGACAUUAUUAAAAGAGGAAUCCCUAGCAAUAAAAAAAUAAAGCCUUAAAAAUAAAUAAAAUUA